AGGCGGUUAAAAUUUUCACUUACAAUGAAAGAUACCCUUUUGGGCGCUUUUAUAGUGUUAAUUAAGGAC
rnacentral:tRNA from 1 species